rnacentral:rRNA from 1 species
AGAGUUUGAUCCUGGCUCAGGAUGAACGCUGGCGGCGUGCUUAACACAUGCAAGUCGAACGAAGCAGCGGCGCGGAACCCCUCCGGGGAGGAAGCGCUGCUGACUGAGUGGCGGACGGGUGAGUAACGCGUGGGUAACCUGCCCCAUACAGGGGGAUAACAGCUGGAAACGGCUGCUAAUACCGCAUAAUCCUGCGGGGCCGCAUGGCCCUGCAUGGAAAGCUUUGGCGGUAUGGGAUGGGCCCGCGUCUGAUUAGGCAGUUGGCGGGGUAACGGCCCACCAAACCGACGAUCAGUAGCCGGCCUGAGAGGGCGACCGGCCACAUUGGGACUGAGACACGGCCCAAACUCCUACGGGAGGCAGCAGUGGGGAAUAUUGCACAAUGGGGGGAACCCUGAUGCAGCGACGCCGCGUGGGUGAAGAAGUAUUUCGGUAUGUAAAGCCCUGUCAGCAGGGAAGAAGAAUGACGGUACCUGACCAAGAAGCACCGGCUAAAUACGUG